UAAAUAUAUAUAAGAACUUCCAUGAUGAGGUAAUACAAACAUAAACAAAUGUUUCGAAAUUCCAUGAGCAGUAUCAUUCCAGUGACAUUUAAGGAAGUGCAUUCAUACUUUUUAAUAUGGAUUUGGAUUGGUGUUUAUUAUAAAGGAAAAACUGUAUUUGUUUUCUUCUGUUUAUGAAGAUAUAACAUCAAAAAUGUGAUGCAUACUGAAUCACCCGCGCAGCGAGUUUUUUAAAAGUGUGCACACAACAUUUUA
rnacentral:lncRNA from 1 species